rnacentral:rRNA from 1 species
GAUGAACGCUAGCGGCAGGCCUAACACAUGCAAGUCGAGGGGCAGCACAGGUAGCAAUACUGGGUGGCGACCGGCGGAUGGGUGCGUAACGCGUAUGCAACCUACCAUUGAUUGGGGCAUAGCCCGAAGAAAUUCGGAUUAAUACUCCAUAAUAUUCAUCAAAGGCAUCUUUUAUGAAUUAAAGCUUUUGCGAUCAAUGAUGGGCAUGCGUGACAUUAGUUAGUUGGUGAGGUAACGGCUCACCAAAACGAUGAUGUCUAGGGGUUCUGAGAGGAUUAUCCCCCAACUGGUACUGAGACACGGACCAGACUCCUACGGGAGGCAGCAGUGAGGAAUAUUGGUCAAUGGACGCAAGUCUGAACCAGCCAUGCCGCGUGCAGGAAGACAGCCCUAUGGGUUGUAAACUGCUUUUAUAUGGGAGCAAUAAGGUCUACGUGUAGACUGAUGAGAGUACCAUAUGAAUAAG